GAGAUGGAUUGGUGCCUUCGGGAACUCUGAGACAGGUGCUGCAUGGCUGUCGUCAGCUCGAGUUGUGAAAUGUUGGGUUAAGUCCCGCAACGAGCGCAACCCUUAUCCUUUGUUGCCAGCGGUCCGGCCGGGAACUCAAAGGAGACUGCCAGUGAUAAACUGGAGGAAGGUGGGGAUGACGUCAAGUCAUCAUGGCCCUUACGAGUAGGGCUACACACGUGCUACAAUGGCGCAUACAAAGAGAAGCGACCUCGCGAGAGCAAGCGGACCUCAUAAAGUGCGUCGUAGUCCGGAUUGGAGUCUGCAACUCGACUCCAUGAAGUCGGAAUCGCUAGUAAUCGUAGAUCAGAAUGCUACGGUGAAUACGUUCCCGGGUCUUGUACACACC
rnacentral:rRNA from 1 species